GACGAACGCUGGCGGCGUGCCUAACACAUGCAAGUCGAACGGAAAGGCCCUGCCUUUGUGGGGUGCUCGAGUGGCGAACGGGUGAGUAACACGUGGGUAACCUGCCCUUGACCUUGGGAUAACUUCUGGAAACUGGGGCUAAUACCGGAUAGGAGCUCAUGCUGCAUGGUGGGGGCUGGAAAGUUUCGGCGGUUGGGGUUGGACUCGCGGCUUCUCAGCUUGUUGGUGGGGUAGUGGCUUACCAAGGCUUGGACGGCUAGCCGGCCUGAGAGGGUGACCGGCCACAGUGGGACUGAGGAGGGGGCCAGAGGGCUACGGGAGGCAGCGGUGGGGGAUAUAGCGCAAUGGGCGGAAGCCGGGUGCAGCAACGCCGGGUGGGGGAUGACGGCCGUCGGAGUGGAAACCGCUUUCGCCUGUGAAGAAGCGUGUGUGACGGUAAUGGAUAAAGAAGCACCGGCUAACUACGUG
rnacentral:rRNA from 1 species